AGAGUUUGAUCCUGGCUCAGGAUGAACGCUAGCUACAGGCUUAACACAUGCAAGUCGAGGGGCAGCAUGGUCUUAGCUUGCUAAGGCCGAUGGCGACCGGCGCACGGGUGAGUAACACGUAUCCAACCUGCCGUCUACUCUUGGACAGCCUUCUGAAAGGAAGAUUAAUACAAGAUGGCAUCAUGAGUCCGCAUGUUCACAUGAUUAAAGGUAUUCCGGUAGACGAUGGGGAUGCGUUCCAUUAGAUAGUAGGCGGGGUAACGGCCCACCUAGUCUUCGAUGGAUAGGGGUUCUGAGAGGAAGGUCCCCCACAUUGGAACUGAGACACGGUCCAAACUCCUACGGGAGGCAGCAGUGAGGAAUAUUGGUCAAUGGGCGAGAGCCUGAACCAGCCAAGUAGCGUGAAGGAUGACUGCCCUAUGGGUUGUAAACUUCUUUUAUAAAGGAAUAAAGUCGGGUAUGGAUACCCGUUUGCAUGUACUUUAUGAAUAAGGAUCGGCUAACUCCGUGCCAGCAGCCGCGGUAAUACGGAGGAUCCGAGCGUUAUCCGGAUUUAUUGGGUUUAAAGGGAGCGUAGAUGGAUGUUUAAGUCAGUUGUGAAAGUUUGCGGCUCAACCGUAAAAUUGCAGUUGAUACUGGAUAUCUUGAGUGCAGUUGAGGCAGGCGGAAUUCGUGGUGUAGCGGUGAAAUGCUUAGAUAUCACGAAGAACUCCAAUUGCGAAGGCAGCCUGCUAAGCUGCAACUGACAUUGAGGCUCGAAAGUGUGGGUAUCAAACAGGAUUAGAUACCCUGGUAGUCCACACGGUAAACGAUGAAUACUCGCUGUUUGUGAUAUACUGCAAGCGGCCAAGCGAAAGCGUUAAGUAUUCCACCUGGGGAGUACGCCGGCAACGGUGAAACUCAAAGGAAUUGACGGGGGCCCGCACAAGCGGAGGAACAUGUGGUUUAAUUCGAUGAUACGCGAGGAACCUUACCCGGGCUUAAAUUGCAGAUGAAUUACGGUGAAAGCCGUAAGCCGCAAGGCAUCUGUGAAGGUGCUGCAUGGUUGUCGUCAGCUCGUGCCGUGAGGUGUCGGCUUAAGUGCCAUAACGAGCGCAACCCUUGUUGUCAGUUACUAACAGGUUCUGCUGAGGACUCUGACAAGACUGCCAUCGUAAGAUGUGAGGAAGGUGGGGAUGACGUCAAAUCAGCACGGCCCUUACGUCCGGGGCUACACACGUGUUACAAUGGGGGGUACAGAGGGCCGCUACCACGCGAGUGGAUGCCAAUCCCAAAAACCUCUCUCAGUUCGGACUGGAGUCUGCAACCCGACUCCACGAAGCUGGAUUCGCUAGUAAUCGCGCAUCAGCCACGGCGCGGUGAAUACGUUCCCGGGCCUUGUACACACCGCCCGUCAAGCCAUGGGAGCCGGGGGUACCUGAAGUGCGUAACCGCGAGGAGCGCCCUAGGGUAAAACUGGUGACUGGGGCUAAGUCGUAACAAGGUAGCCG
rnacentral:rRNA from 1 species